rnacentral:rRNA from 1 species
AUUGAACGCUGGCGGCAGGCCUAACACAUGCAAGUCGAACGAGUGGCGGACGGGUGAGUAAUGUCUGGGAAACUGCCUGAUGGAGGGGGCUCACUACUGGAAACGGUAGCUAAUACCGCCUACCCUCGGAUGUGCCCCGAUGGGAUUAGCUUGUUGGUGGGGUAACGGCUCACCAGGGCGACGAGCCCGAGCUGGUCUGAGAGGAUGACCAGCCACACUGGAACUGAGAAACGGUGGAGAAUCCGAAGGGAGGCAGGAGUGGGGAAGAUGGCAAGAUGGGCGCAAGCCUGAUGCAGCGAUGCCGCGUGUAUGAAGAAGGCCUUCGGGUUGUAAAGUACUUUCAGCGGGGAGGGGUUACACGGAGAAGAAGCACCGGCUAACUCCGGGCCAGCAGCCGCGGUAAUAC